rnacentral:rRNA from 1 species
UCCGUAGGUGGCAAUCGUUGUCCGGAAUUAUUGGGCGUAAAGCGCGCGCAGGCGGUUAUGUAAGUCUGAUGUUAAAGCCCGGGGCUCAACCUCGGUUCGCAUUGGAAACUGUGUAACUUGAGUGCAGAAGAGGAAAGUGGUAUUCCACGUGUAGCGGUGAAAUGCGUAGAUAUGUGGAGGAACACCAGUGGCGAAGGCGACUUUCUGGCCUGUAACUGACGCUGAGGCGCGAAAGCGUGGGGAGAAAACAGG